AUGGGAAUCCUCCUUGUUUUCACCUUGUGUAUCUGUUUACACCGCUCUUUCAGUCAGUCAGUGACACAGACCCCGGCAGCGGUGAUCAGGAAGGAGUGUCAGUCUCUCACCAUCACCUGUGUUUUCUAUGGCGGUUUUUUCGCUCGUCCUUUGACGGGCGCGGAUUUCUUCAGACAAACCCAGACCGGGACAGAGCGGAAGCGGAUCUCCAACGGAGGGAGAUUUGUUUUAUCGGUGAAUGAAGCAGAAAAGACAUUUACGCUGGAAAUUCGGGAUGUGAGAGUUGAAGACACCGCCACCUAUUACUGUAAAGCUCAGUAUAGGUCCAACAUGCGGUACAAUUAUGUGGAUGGAUCCGGGACGGUGGUGACUGUCACAGCCGGUUCCAGUUCUCUGGUAUCCCGGAGUCCGCAUCUCCAAACCGGUGCUGCCGGUGACACUGUUACUUUAAGCUGUGAAUAUUCAGGGUUCUGUCAGUACACAGUACACUGGUACGGUCAGUCCCCAGGACAGGCUCCGGAAUACCUGCUUGAGAGACACAUUUCAGGAGAGGAGAACAAAGAAAACGCUGCCGUGGGUAAAAUUUUUGCUUCUAUCGAUUCUGCCGAGAAAAGCAGCCGGUUGAAGAUCUCCAAACCACAAUUGAGCGACUCCGCUGUGUAUUACUGUGCACUGAGUCGACGCACAGCACAGUGA